UACGUAGGUGGCAAGCGUUAUCCGGAAUUAUUGGGCGUAAAGCGCGCGCAGGUGGUUCUUUAAGUCUGAUGUGAAAGCCCCCGGCUCAACCGGGGAGGGUCAUUGGAAACUGGGGAACUUGAGUAUAGAAGAGGAAAGUGGAAUUCCACGUGUAGCGGUGAAAUGCGUAGAGAUCCGGAGGAACACCUGUGGCGAAGGCGGCCCCCUGGGCCGCACCUGACGCUGAGACGCGAAAGCGCGGGGAGCGAACGGG
rnacentral:rRNA from 1 species